rnacentral:lncRNA from 1 species
GAAUUUGUUCUUGCCAGUGAUACUGUUUGGAGGUUCAGCUCUGUUUUUGCUGCCUGUUACUGCUGUCACCCAGGAUUAAAAGCUGUAGAUAUCCCAGGGCUGCGGCAAGGGCUUUCAAUGACAUGGAUGAGGACUGCAGAGGUGCAUCAGAACAGUGUGGGCAAUGACUUCUGGGAAGAUCAGGAAAAAAUAAAGUAUGGCUAAUGGACCUGGGUUUCUCUUUCUUCCCUGCUGGCAGUCAUUCAUGGUAACACAAACCUGGGGAUGCUGCAACAUCAUGCAACGCUCUAUACUGGCUUUGAUAGUCCACCAGUGCCUGCAGAAGGUCUCCCUGGCCUAUCUGAGUCUCCUCCCCGGUGAGCAGUUCAGCUUGGUGCCAUCCACAAGAGCGGAGAGCUUUGGAAGGAGCCCACUGAAGGCAUGCUAGCAAGACCCUGAGUCACAGGCAGAGAAACUUUCCUAACUCAUCACCAUAUACUGGCCUCAGAUCCUCUCUGGAGCAGCUACCAGAGCGGCUGAACUUUGCUGUUCCCUGCUGUGCUGCCCAGUCUAGCUGGUACUGUGUGAGCAUGAGGUCCUCACCCUGGUCCUGCCCCUGGUGACGGGCUAUCCCUGCUUCAGCUGCAUCACCACACACCAGAUGUGCAGGAGGCUGCGAAGAGCUGCGCUCCGUGAGCAAAGGUGCCCUUUUAUAAGAAAAAA